GUAAUACCUUAGAAGACAGCACUCCUAAUGCCUACUUAAUUAUGGUGCUACUUCUAAAAAAACUACAGGCAGCUCAGGAAAUGCUAAAUCCUUGUAACAGAAGAGUGAACACAUCAGAAAAUUGUCUCUCUCCAUCAGGACAGCAUUGCUUCAUAACGGCCCCACUUCACAGCAAGUUCAAACGUCUUUUAUGCCUACACGGAUGAAGUCUGUCAACAUUCAGUAUUGUGACAGGUGAAACAGGACUUUUGUUGCUGGGAAAGGAAGAGGACACACAUGGCCCAAAUGCAACAUAAGGAACUUCUUUUAAGAAUGUAUUCUUCAAACAGCUCCCAGGCUGAAUCUCCUUUAGAACAGCAGCAUGGGCCUGAGUCAGAUUAUCUGAGUUUGAAUCACAGCUCAGCCUCGACCAGAGGGAUAAGCAAGCUAUUUAACCUUUCUGUGACUCAGUGCCUCUCCUGUAAAAUGAAGAGGACAUGGUCUCUACCUCCAGAAUUGUUGUGAAGAUGAAAUGAGUCAGUAGAAAUAAAG